rnacentral:rRNA from 1 species
CACCGCGGUUAUACGAGGGGCCCAAGUUGACAAACACCGGCGUAAAAAGUGGUUAGUAUAUCAUUUAACUAAAGCCAAACACCUUCAAAGCUGUUAUAUGCUCUCGGAGAUAGGAAGCCCUCCCACGAAAGUGGCUUUAAAUAUUACAAAUCCACGAAAGCUAGGAGA